AUGGCCAGAGUGAAGCUUGGCACGCAGGGCCUCGAGGUAUCCAAGAUCGGUUUCGGAUGCAUGGGCCUCACCGGCGUGUACAACGAUCCGGUGCCGGAGGAUGCUGGCGUCGCCGUCAUACGGCGCGCCUUCGACGCCGGCGUCACCUUCUUCGACACCGCCGAUGCUUAUGGGCCACACACCAACGAGGUCCUGCUUGGAAAGGCACUAAGGCAAGUGCCUCGUGAAAGGGUUCAAGUGGCCACCAAGUGUGGCAUAGCAGGAUUUGACGCCGGUGGCCUGUGUGUGAAGGGCACUCCAGAAUAUGUGCGUGCGAGCUGUGAAGCAAGCCUUGUGCGCCUCGGUGUGGACUACAUCGACCUAUAUUUCCAGCAUCGCAUCGACCAGUCAGUGCCUAUAGAGGAAACCAUGGGGGAACUGAAGAAGUUGGUUGAAGAAGGGAAAGUCAAGUAUGUUGGCUUGUCUGAGGCUAGUGCCGAUACCAUUAAGCGGGCACAUGCAGUUCAUCCGAUCACUGCAGUGCAGAUGGAGUGGUCACUAUGGACCAGGGAUAUAGAGGAAGAUAUUAUCCCACUAUGCAGGGAGCUUGGCAUCGGAGUUGUUCCAUAUAGCCCACUUGGUCGUGGUUUCUUUGCUGGCAGGGCAGCUGUAGAGAGCUUACCAUCAGGGAGUUUACUAUCCAAACAUCCUAGGUAUACUGGAGAAAACCUGGAGAAGAAUAGAGUUCUGUAUACACGACUCGAAAUGUUGUCCACCAAGUAUGGCUGCACACCUGCUCAACUUGCUCUUGCCUGGGUUCUUCAUCAAGGGGAUGAUGUCGUUCCAAUCCCUGGAACAACAAAACUGAAGAACCUCGAUGAUAACAUCGAGGCUGUAAAGGUAAAGCUGAGCAAGGAAGACCUGAAAGAAAUCUCAGCCGCCAUCCCUGCUGGCGAGGUGGCUGGGUCCAGGAUCAUUGGAAUCCUGGAGCCUUAUUCUUGGAGGGUUGCAAACACUCCACCUCAAAAGUAG
rnacentral:rRNA from 1 species